AUGAAUAUACUCGCAUGGAAUAGCCGGGGGGCAGGGAACCGCUAGAAAGUUCAUAAAGUUUUGGCCCUCUCACAAGCCAACUCCCCAAAGCUUGUCUUUUUGAGUGAAACAAGACACGAUGGUAACAAAGUUUAGAAGAUUAAGUGGAGAGGUUUGAAAGGUUUUUGUGGUGUUUUAAGCAAUGGCCUGAGUGGGGGUUUGGCUCUCUAUUGGGACAGAUCUCUACAAGUUUCAGUUCUUAACUCUUGUACCAGAUAUAUUGAUGUAAUGAUUGAUGAUAACAGUUGUGAUCUUCGAUGGAGAGUAACCUUUGUAUAUGGAUAA
rnacentral:rRNA from 1 species